CCUACGGGUGGCAGCAGUGAGGAAUAUUGGUCAAUGGACGAAAGUCUGAACCAGCCAAGUCGCGUGAAGGAUGACGGUCCUAUGGAUUGUAAACCUCUUUUAUCAAGGAGCAAAAGGAGCCACGUGUGGCGUUUUGCGAGUACCUGAAGAAUAAGGAUCGGCUAACUCCGUGCCAGCAGCCGCGGUAAUACGGAGGAUGCGAGCGUUAUCCGGAUUUAUUGGGUUUAAAGGGUGCGCAGGCGGAAGGACAAGUCAGAGGUAAAAGUUCGGGCUUCAACCCCGUCGUGCCUUUGAAACUGGCGAUCUUGAGUGAGGGAGAGGUAUGCGGAAUGCGUGGUGUAGCGGUGAAAUGCAUAGAGAUCACGCAGAACGCCGAUUGCGAAGGCAGCAUACCG
rnacentral:rRNA from 1 species